GGCACGGUGGCCAAGUGGUAAAACGCUGGUCUCAUAAACCGAGGAACGCGGGUUUGAACCCCGUCUGUGCCU
rnacentral:tRNA from 1 species